GGUGAGGUAGCCCAAUUGGUAGAGGCGCGUAUUUUGGAAUCUCGUAUGAGGUUCGCACAGCAAUUUUCUUUAGGUCUUGAAAACCCGUUAGUUGUUGGUUCGAUUCCAACCCUCACCA
rnacentral:tRNA from 1 species